UGGCUCAGACAGUAAAGCGUCUGCCUGGAAUGCGGGAGACCCAGGUUCGAUCCCUGG
rnacentral:tRNA from 1 species